UACGAAGGGGGCUAGCGUUGUUCGGAAUUACUGGGCGUAAAGCGUGCGCAGGCGGCUGCUCAAGUCAGGGGUGAAAGCCCAGAGCUCAACUCUGGAAUUGCCUUUGAGACUGAGUGGCUUGAGUACGGGAGAGGUGAGUGGAACUGCGAGUGUAGAGGUGAAAUUCGUAGAUAUUCGCAAGAACACCAGUGGCGAAGGCGGCUCACUGGCCCGAUACUGACGCUGAGGCACGAAAGCGUGGGUAGCAAACAGG
rnacentral:rRNA from 1 species